AGUGGGGAAUAUUGGGCAAUGGGCGCAAGCCUGACCCAGCAACGCCGCGUGAGGGAAGAAUGUCUUCGGAUUGUAAACCUCUGUCCUUGGGGACGAAAAAAAUGACGGAACCCAAGGAGGAAGCUCCGGCUAACUACGUGCCAGCAGCCGCGGUAAUACGUAGGGAGCAAGCGUUGUCCGGAAUUAUUGGGCGUAAAGGGUGCGUAGGCGGCGCUGCAAGUCAGAUGUGAAAUCCCCAGGCUUAACUUGGGAGUUGCAUUUGAAACUGCAGUGCUUGAGUAAAGAAGAGGUAAGUGGAAUUCCUAGUGUAGCGGUGGAAUGCGUAGAUAUUAGGAGGAACACCAGUGGCGAAGGCGACUUACUGGUCUUUUACUGACGCUGAGGCACGAAAGCGUGGGGAGCAAACAGGAUUAGAUACCCUGGUAGUCCACGCUGUAAACGAUGGAUACUAGGUGUGGGGGACAUACAACCUCUGUGCCGGAGCGAACGCAUUAAGUAUCCCGCCUGGGGAGUACGGUCGCAAGGCUG
rnacentral:rRNA from 1 species